rnacentral:rRNA from 1 species
UACGUAGGGGGCAAGCGUUGUCCGGAUUUAUUGGGCGUAAAGAGCGUGUAGGCGGCCAGACAGGUCAGCUGUGAAAACUCGAGGCUCAACCUCGAGACGUCGGUUGAAACCGUCUGGCUAGAGUCCGGAAGAGGAGAGUGGAAUUCCUGGUGUAGCGGUGAAAUGCGCAGAUAUCGGAAGGAACGCCGGUGGCGAAAGCGACGUGCUGGACCCUUUCUGACGCUGAGGCGCGAAAGCCAGGGGAGCAAACGGG